GUUGAGGGCGCGUCUUCCUUAAGGCGCAUCUUUGGAGCGAGGCUGCAGCAUCCAGGGCGGAGGUGAGGGUAGCAUUAUAUUAGAAGAUAGCCAGAGAGGGACAGGAGAAAGUGGGGAUGAAUGAGAGUUUGGAAUGGAGAUCAGCUGAGAGUUGCUGGAGGUCAAGAGAAUUCAGGUCCCUUUUAAGUUGAGGGGGGUAAGGGUGAGACUGUUGAGUGAGGAAGCUUUCAAGAACAAAUAAGAGAUUGUGAUCUGAGAGAGGAAAUGGAGUGUUGUGGAGUUU